GAUGAACGCUGGCGGCGUGCCUAAUACAUGCAAGUCGAGCGAACGGACGAGAAGCUUGCUUCUCUGAUGUUAGCGGCGGACGGGUGAGUAACACGUGGAUAACCUACCUAUAAGACUGGGAUAACUUCGGGAAACCGGAGCUAAUACCGGAUAAUAUUUUGAACCGCAUGGUUCAAAAGUGAAAGACGGUCUUGCUGUCACUUAUAGAUGGAUCCGCGCUGCAUUAGCUAGUUGGUAAGGUAACGGCUUACCAAGGCAACGAUGCAUAGCCGACCUGAGAGGGUGAUCGGCCACACUGGAACUGAGACACGGUCCAGACUCCUACGGGAGGCAGCAGUAGGGAAUCUUCCGCAAUGGGCGAAAGCCUGACGGAGCAACGCCGCGUGAGUGAUGAAGGUCUUCGGAUCGUAAAACUCUGUUAUUAGGGAAGAACAUAUGUGUAAGUAACUGUGCACAUCUUGACGGUACCUAAUCAGAAAGCCACGGCUAACUACGUGCCAGCAGCCGCGGUAAUACGUAGGUGGCAAGCGUUAUCCGGAAUUAUUGGGCGUAAAGCGCGCGUAGGCGGUUUUUUAAGUCAGAUGUGAAAGCCCACGGCUCAACCGUGGAGGGUCAUUGGAAACUGGAAAACUUGAGUGCAGAAGAGGAAAGUGGAAUUCCAUGUGUAGCGGUGAAAUGCGCAGAGAUAUGGAGGAACACCAGUGGCGAAGGCGACUUUCUGGUCUGUAACUGACGCUGAUGUGCGAAAGCGUGGGGAUCAAACAGGAUUAGAUACCCUGGUAGUCCACGCCGUAAACGAUGAGUGCUAAGUGUUAGGGGGUUUCCGCCCCUUAGUGCUGCAGCUAACGCAUUAAGCACUCCGCCUGGGGAGUACGACCGCAAGGUUGAAACUCAAAGGAAUUGACGGGGACCCGCACAAGCGGUGGAGCAUGUGGUUUAAUUCGAAGCAACGCGAAGAACCUUACCAAAUCUUGACAUCCUUUGACAACUCUAGAGAUAGAGCCUUCCCCUUCGGGGGACAAAGUGACAGGUGGUGCAUGGUUGUCGUCAGCUCGUGUCGUGAGAUGUUGGGUUAAGUCCCGCAACGAGCGCAACCCCUAAGCUUAGUUGCCAUCAUUAAGUUGGGCACCCUAAGUUGACUGCCGGUGACAAACCGGAGGAAGGUGGGGAUGACGUCAAAUCAUCAUGCCCCUUAUGAUUUGGGCUACACACGUGCUACAAUGGACAAUACAAAGGGCAGCGAAACCGCGAGGUCAAGCAAAUCCCAUAAAGUUGUUCUCAGUUCGGAUUGUAGUCUGCAACUCGACUACAUGAAGCUGGAAUCGCUAGUAACCGUAGAUCAGCAUGCUACGGUGAAUACGUUCCCGGGUCU
rnacentral:rRNA from 1 species